UACGUAGGGUGCGAGCGUUAAUCGGAAUUACUGGGCGUAAAGGGUGCGCAGGCGGCUUCGCAAGUCAGGCGUGAAAUCCCCGGGCUUAACCUGGGAACUGCACUUGAAACUACGAUGCUGGAGUAUGGCAGAGGGAGGUGGAAUUCCACGUGUAGCGGUGAAAUGCGUAGAGAUGUGGAGGAACACCGAUGGCGAAGGCAGCCUCCUGGGCCAAUACUGACGCUGAGGAGCGAAAGCCAGGGGAGCAAACGGG
rnacentral:rRNA from 1 species